UGCCGGUGAUGAGUUUCCAUGCUAAUACUGAUGCACCAGGCUGGCUCUCUGGGGCUGUGUCUCUGGGUGCAGCUGAGUUAAACUCUGCUUCUCACACUGACUGGGUUCUGAGGCAA